rnacentral:rRNA from 1 species
AUACGGAGGAUGCAAGCGUUAUCCGGAUUUAUUGGGUUUAAAGGGUGCGCAGGCGGCGCGAUAAGUCAGCGGUGAAAUGUACCGGCUCAACCGGUGAGCUGCCGUUGAUACUGUCGUGCUUGAGUGCGAGCGGCGCCGGCGGAAUGUGUGAUGUAGCGGUGAAGUGCAUAGAUAUCACACAGAACACCGAUCGCGAAGGCAGCAGUCGAGGAAGUUACUGACGCUGAGGCACGAAAGCGGGGGGAUCAAACAGGAUUAGAUACCCUGGUAGUCCACGCCGUAAACGAUGAUGACUUGUUGUCGGCGACAGACAGUCGGUGACAAAGCGAAAGCGAUAAGUCAUCCACCUGGGGAGUACGAUCGCAAGGUUGAAACUCAAAGGAAUUGACGGGG